AGACCACAGACCUUGAGGGAAGCUCACUCAGGACCUAUUCUUCACCCAGUUUCUCCGGCAAAGUGGUGCUGACGGCGUGAUGAGCUACCUUGUGGAGUCUGCAGUGAGUGGCCCCGCCCCCUACUCAGCGGUGCGACCCGCAGCAGUGAGGCAGGGACCUCUCAGCUCUUACGAAGAUCCUCGAAUGGCCUGUGGUUUCCAGUCUGCUUAUCACCCGCCAAGAGCUUGCUACCCCUUCUGGGAUGAGAUGGCCACUCAGGAAGUGCCCACUG